AUAAGACGAAGUCGCUAGCAGAAGAGAAGGGUUUGUGCACAGCGCGGCUGCCUAUCGACAAGUACAUGGAAUUAAAAGACAUUUCGCCCAAGAAGAAAAAGUCCGGAAAGCACGCUUUUUCAAUCGUGCUCAGUGUGAACCAAGUUUUUGAGAUCUUGUUGAAAUUUCACGAGACUCAAGAUUGGCGACAAGCUUUAGGGACUUGCGUACCGCAACGGAAAGGACUGGUGUUGAAGACAUAAGCUGAAUAAAGGUUCCGGAUAGGUCGUUUUAUGACAAUUUAACUUUGGUCAUUUAUACGGAAACGCUUCAAAGACCGCUUCGCGCUGAUGUGAUUACGUGAUAGUAAGGAGAACUGAAAUCACGUGGCAUAGCAAACAGUAUGGCAAGACAUGGAAGGCCAACUUGUUUUUUUCAACAAAGCCGAAGCAAAAUAACCAGAGCGCAAAAGUUCAGAAUUACUGUAGGAGUCCUGUUACAGACUGAAGUUUGGACAGUCUUAGUGGAAGAGAUCAUCAGAGUCAAUUGAAGAGUUGUUUGUUAGUCGAAUGUCAUUAAGUCUUGCUCAUGUACACUGAUGUAUUUCGCAUUAAAACUUGGACCCCUA